CGAACGCUGGCGGCGUGCCUAAUACAUGCAAGUUGAGCGAUGAAGAUUGGUGCUUGCACCAAUUUGAAGAGCAGCGAACGGGUGAGUAACGCGUGGGGAAUCUGCCUUUGAGCGGGGGACAACAUUUGGAAACGAAUGCUAAUACCGCAUAACAACUUUAAACAUAAGUUUUAAGUUUGAAAGAUGCAAUUGCAUCACUCAAAGAUGAUCCCGCGUUGUAUUAGCUAGUUGGUGAGGUAAAGGCUCACCAAGGCGAUGAUACAUAGCCGACCGGAGAGGGGGAUCGGCCACAGUGGGACUGAGACCCGGCCCAAACUCCUACGGGAGGCAGCAGUAGGGAAUCUUCGGCAAUGGACGAAAGUCUGACCGAGCAACGCCGCGUGAGUGAAGAAGGUUUUCGGAUCGGAAAACUCUGUUGGUAGAGAAGAACGUUGGUGAGAGUGGAAAGCUCAUCAAGUGACGGUAACUACCCAGAAAGGGACGGCUAACUACGUG
rnacentral:rRNA from 1 species